UACGGGGGGGGCAAGCGUUGUUCGGAAUUACUGGGCGUAAAGGGCUCGUAGGCGGCCAACUAAGUCCGACGUGAAAUCCCCAGGCCUAACCUGGGAACUGCGUCGGAUACUGGAUGGCUUGAAUCCGGGAGAGGGAUGCGGAAUUCCAGGUGUAGCGGUGAAAUGCGUAGAUAUCUGGAGGAACACCGGUGGCGAAGGCGGCAUCCUGGACCGGCAUUGACGCUGAGGAGCGAAAGCCAGGGGAGCAAACGGG
rnacentral:rRNA from 1 species